GACUGGUGAAUGUGAUUUUUGAAGACACGGGAUUGUCAAGGUAGAAGGGAUCAGCCAGCUGCUUGAGGGAGUUUUUCAGGUUCACUGCAAUGAGUGCUCCCAGGACAGACUGUAGAGGAAAGGGGAUCUUAUUAGCAAGAGUGACGGAGAGAGCACAGCAGAUCACAUGGAUUUUGAAGAAAGAUCCAAAGAAGUUGCUGCAGCCCAGUGCCAGCAUUUCCUGUAGAGACCAGGGGAACAUGCUCAUCAGAAAGAACAGCUCCCCUUCCCAUCCUUCCAGUUGGUCUGAGCUGCCAGUCAGGAGAGAAGCUCCCUGUGUAUGCAGAGCCAUCAGGAUGAGGAGGAGGAGAUGUUUGAAAGUGGACUUAACAGAAGGAAAAGUGAAACUUCUGUGUCUGCCACCACCAUGAGUCUGUGCUCUCCACAUGCCUCUGACACAAGACCUGGCCCUUGGCCUUUGAAGAGCAGGUGGGCAAUGCAAAUCCCAAGGAAUUAAAAAGUUUGCAGACUGCAACAUUCUUGCACUGCCAGCAAAUGCUUGCCCAAGAUGCCUGCUGCGAGCCCUCUCGUGCAUACACUCCUUGCCCCAGUGGAUCUGCUUUUAGAGAAGGAAAACAGCUGUGUCACCCAGCCCAUCCUCUCCCAGAGUGGGAAGAUGAAGAGCGUUUCCCUCCUGGGAAGCUCUGACCCAUGGCAGAAAUACCAUGUAGCCAGCAACAAAUUUCACUUCAAGGACUACUUCUCUUCAAGGGCAAGAAGAACAAGUCUCCAGGUUAAGUUUUCAGCUUGCUAAGAAGUAAUGUGUGGAUGAACUUAAUCAGGGCAGAGAGGAAGGCAUCCUCGCUUUGUGAACUGCCGUUUACAGCAAUGGAAGAGGCUUACGGAGAUCUUUUCUUGUAUCUGUAUUUGAAGAGUUCUGCCCAGACUGGACCUAAACAUCCCAUAAAAUGUCACAGGGAAGAGCUGGAGACCUUGUAGUCAGUCAGUGCUCAGCCUGGAAGCACUUCUUAUUCCCAGCUUUCAAAUUGCUUCCUAAUUUUAUAGCAUGCAUACAGCCAUACAUUCCUGCACAGUGAUGUCCUGCGCACCAAAGAACCCCUCAGCCCUGUUAGAUUCCUAUAUGCAACAAGUGUUCCUCUCCCAUUUCCUACAUGUUUCUUUCCAUGUCUGUAUGUACAAACUCUAAUUUAGGCUGCAACAUCCUUGGGGCAGGGACCACUUUAUAUAUAGCCCUGUGAA